GGUUAAGCGACUAAGCGUACACGGUGGAUGCCCUGGCAGUCAGAGGCGAUGAAGGGCGUGCUAAUCUGCGAUAAGCGCCGGUAAGGUGAUAUGAACCGUUAUAACCGGCGAUACCCGAAUGGGGAAACCCAGUGUGACUCGUCACACUAUCAUUAACUGAAUCCAUAGGUUAAUGAGGCGAACCGGGGGAACUGAAACAUCUAAGUACCCCGAGGAAAAGAAAUCAACCGAGAUUCCCCCAGUAGCGGCGAGCGAACGGGGAGGAGCCCAGAGCCUGAAUCAGCAUGUGUGUUAGUGGAAGCGUCUGGAAAGGCGCGCGAUACAGGGUGACAGCCCCGUACACAAAAGCGCAUGUGCUGUGAGCUCGAUGAGUAGGGCGGGACACGUGGUAUCCUGUCUGAAUAUGGGGGGACCAUCCUCCAAGGCUAAAUACUCCUGACUGACCGAUAGUGAACCAGUACCGUGAGGGAAAGGCGAAAAGAACCCCGGCGAGGGGAGUGAAAAAGAACCUGAAACCGUGUACGUACAAGCAGUGGGAGCCCCACCACUAAGCCAGUGGUGAACUCCACAUACGCAUCCUUUGCUGAGGAUACGGUUAACGGAGCGAAAGCGACGUUCAACCUCAAAAGAAGCAGAGGGGGCUUAGUGGUGGGGUGACUGCGUACCUUUUGUAUAAUGGGUCAGCGACUUAUAUUCUGUAGCAAGGUUAACCGAAUAGGGGAGCCGGAGGGAAACCGAGUCUUAACCGGGCGUUAAGUUGCAGGGUAUAGACCCGAAACCCGGUGAUCUAGCCAUGGGCAGGUUGAAGGUUGGGUAACACUAACUGGAGGACCGAACCGACUAAUGUUGAAAAAUUAGCGGAUGACCUGUGGCUGGGGGUGAAAGGCCAAUCAAACCGGGAGAUAGCUGGUUCUCCCCGAAAGCUAUUUAGGUAGCGCCUCGUGAAUUCAUCUCCGGGGGUAGAGCACUGUUUCGGCUAGGGGGCCAUCCCGGCUUACCAACCCGAUGCAAACUGCGAAUACCGGAGAAUGUUAUCACGGGAGACACACGGCGGGUGCUAACGUCCGUCGUGAAGAGGGAAACAACCCAGACCGCCAGCUAAGGUCCCAAAGUCAUGGUUAAGUGGGAAACGAUGUGGGAAGGCCCAGACAGCCAGGAUGUUGGCUUAGAAGCAGCCAUCAUUUAAAGAAAGCGUAAUAGCUCACUGGUCGAGUCGGCCUGCGCGGAAGAUGUAACGGGGCUAAACCAUGCACCGAAGCUGCGGCAGCGACACUGAUGCGUUGUUGGGUAGGGGAGCGUUCUGUAAGCCUGUGAAGGUGGCCUGUGAGGGUUGCUGGAGGUAUCAGAAGUGCGAAUGCUGACAUAAGUAACGAUAAAGCGGGUGAAAAGCCCGCUCGCCGGAAGACCAAGGGUUCCUGUCCAACGUUAAUCGGGGCAGGGUGAGUCGACCCCUAAGGCGAGGCCGAAAGGCGUAGUCGAUGGGAAACGGGUUAAUAUUCCCGUACUUGGUGUUACUGCGAAGGGGGGACGGAGAAGGCUAUGUUGGCCGGGCGACGGUUGUCCCGGUUUAAGCGUGUAGGUGUGUGUUCCAGGUAAAUCCGGUUCACUUUAACACUGAGGCGUGAUGACGAGGCACUACGGUGCUGAAGCAACAAAUGCCCUGCUUCCAGGAAAAGCCUCUAAGCAUCAGGUAACAUCAAAUCGUACCCCAAACCGACACAGGUGGUCAGGUAGAGAAUACCAAGGCGCUUGAGAGAACUCGGGUGAAGGAACUAGGCAAAAUGGUGCCGUAACUUCGGGAGAAGGCACGCUGACACGUAGGUGAAGUGAUUUACUCAUGGAGCUGAAGUCAGUCGAAGAUACCAGCUGGCUGCAACUGUUUAUUAAAAACACAGCACUGUGCAAACACGAAAGUGGACGUAUACGGUGUGACGCCUGCCCGGUGCCGGAAGGUUAAUUGAUGGGGUUAUCCGUAAGGAGAAGCUCCUGAUCGAAGCCCCGGUAAACGGCGGCCGUAACUAUAACGGUCCUAAGGUAGCGAAAUUCCUUGUCGGGUAAGUUCCGACCUGCACGAAUGGCGUAAUGAUGGCCAGGCUGUCUCCACCCGAGACUCAGUGAAAUUGAACUCGCUGUGAAGAUGCAGUGUACCCGCGGCAAGACGGAAAGACCCCGUGAACCUUUACUAUAGCUUGACACUGAACACUGGUCCUUGAUGUGCAGGAUAGGUGGGAGGCUUUGAAGCGCGGACGCCAGUUCGUGUGGAGCCAUCCUUGAAAUACCACCCUUUAAUGGCUGGUGUUCUAACGUAGACCCGUGAUCCGGGUUGCGGACAGUGUCUGGUGGGUAGUUUGACUGGGGCGGUCUCCUCCUAAAGAGUAACGGAGGAGCACGAAGGUUAGCUAAUCCUGGUCGGACAUCAGGAGGUUAGUGCAAAGGCAUAAGCUAGCUUGACUGCGAGCGUGACGGCGCGAGCAGGUGCGAAAGCAGGUCUUAGUGAUCCGGUGGUUCUGAAUGGAAGGGCCAUCGCUCAACGGAUAAAAGGUACUCCGGGGAUAACAGGCUGAUACCGCCCAAGAGUUCAUAUCGACGGCGGUGUUUGGCACCUCGAUGUCGGCUCAUCACAUCCUGGGGCUGAAGUAGGUCCCAAGGGUAUGGCUGUUCGCCAUUUAAAGUGGUACGCGAGCUGGGUUUAGAACGUCGUGAGACAGUUCGGUCCCUAUCUGCCGUGGGCGCUGGAGAACUGAGGGGGGCUGCUCCUAGUACGAGAGGACCGGAGUGGACGCAUCACUGGUGUUCGGGUUGUCAUGCCAAUGGCACUGCCCGGUAGCUAAAUGCGGAAGAGAUAAGUGCUGAAAGCAUCUAAGCACGAAACUUGCCCCGAGAUGAGUUCUCCCUGAGACUUAGAGUCUCCUGAAGGAACGUUGAAGACGACGACGUUGAUAGGCCGGGUGUGUAAGCGCAGCGAUGCGUUGAGCUAACCGGUACUAAUGAACCGUGAGGCUUAACCUU
rnacentral:rRNA from 1 species